rnacentral:rRNA from 1 species
GGAGGAUGCGAGCGUUAUCCGGAUUCAUUGGGUUUAAAGGGUGCGCAGGCGGGCCUUUAAGCCGGCGGUGGAAUCGCGGGGCUCAACCCCGCCCAGCCGUCGGAACUGGGGGCCUUGAGUGCGGCGGAGGCAUGCGGAAUGCGCGGUGUAGCGGUGAAAUGCAUAGAUAUCGCGCAGAACCCCGAUUGCGAAGGCAGCGUGCCGUGCCGCCACUGACGCUGAGGCACGAAAGCGCGGGGAUCGAA